CUGGCUUGAAAAGUUCCUGGAAAACUCACCCGUGUGAUUGUUGUUUUGAGAAGACUGAAGAUCCAUCGAUAUGGAGAGCUGCAGGAGCUACUGGGUGAAGGGUAAUGGACAUGCCCUGUGGAAGCUUGAGUGGCAUGAGGGUGACUCAGACUCUGUGCUAAUCUGGCAAUGCUGUGAGGGAGAGGAACUGGGGCUCCUGACUCUCCCCCCUGCACCCUGCUGGUUGAAUUGCAAAUGAAGUACAGCCAGGAGGAGCACCUGGUGUUCAAAGAGUGCAGGUUAAUUAAAUGGCUUGGGAGUGAGCUGACUUUUUGUACAGGAUCACAGAACUUGCAGGAUCAUGAAGAGAUCUUGUGAAGUUGUUGAAGGAGAAAAAUGCAAAUGUAAUGAUGAAACACAAGGAAACAGUUUGGCUAUGAUG